UACGGAGGGGGCAAGCGUUGUUCGGAAUUAUUGGGCGUAAAGAGCGCGUAGGCGGUCCGAUAAGUCGGCUGUGAAAGUCAGGGGCUCAACCCUUGAAAGCCGGCCGAUACUGUCGGACUAGAGUCCGGAAGAGGCAAGUGGAAUUCCCGGUGUAGCGGUGAAAUGCGCAGAUAUCGAGAGGAACACCUGCGGCGAAGGCGGGUAGCUGGGCCGACACUGACGCUGAGGCGCGAAAGCCAGGGGAGCGAACGGG
rnacentral:rRNA from 1 species